GGACCUUUUGGCUAUCGCGGUGAACCUGGAGAGAAAGGCAUUCCUGGAUACCCCGGCGGAAGAGUAAGAGCUAACAACUGACUAUUAUUUUAUUAUUUCAUACAUUGGAGAAGAAGUAGAAAUUUUGUUUGUUUUCGGUUCCAUGGUGAAAUGUUUUGCAUUGUUUUUUCCAUUUCCAUUUCUUUGUGGUGAAUAUUGCGUUUGAUUCCACUAAACAGGGUGCUCCUGGUUUUAACGGGCCUCCUGGUUCUCCAGGACAACAGGGAUAUACAGGCAACCCAGGUUUCCCCGGGCAACCAGGAUACAUUGGACCCAAGGGAGACCAGGGAGACCCCGGACCACCAGGACCUCCAGCUUACAUUAGUAAUUAUGGCACUGCUGUUCAAGGAGCACCGGGUGACCCAGGUCUUGGCGGAUAUCCUGGUGCGCGUGGUGACCAGGGACCUCCAGGAUUCCCAGGACAACCAGGCCCACCAGGAAUUGCUUAUGGUUCAGGCCGUGGCGGAUCCCCAGGUUUUCCUGGAACCCCAGGCCCGAAGGGAGAGAAAGGUAACGCAGGCGUACCAGGCUAUGGCUCCGAAGGACUCCCCGGCUCACCUGGGCUCCCCGGACCCCCCGGCUCUCCUGGACCUCAGGGCCCCUCUAGUUCUCCCUCAGGUAUCCCCUCUAGUUUUCCUGGACAGCCCGGGUUGCCUGGCGCCAGAGGAGAACCUGGUGGCCCAGGAUACAAAGGCUUUAGAGGUACACACAUACUGGCUGAAUAUCCUCUACAAGAAAUUAUGAUUAUGAUUCCCAUUAAUUACUGCAGAACAUCGGCUACUCUUUAUGGGGUCCACACAAAACAUAAAAAAGAAACAUGAAAACAGAUAAGACACAGAAAAAUAUAAUGAAUGAAACAGUAUUU
rnacentral:lncRNA from 15 species